rnacentral:tRNA from 1 species
GCCGGCGUGGCGGAACUGGCAGACGCGCUGGACUCAAAAUCCAGUGAUCGCAAGAUCGUGUGGGUUCGAGCACCACCGCCGGCA